rnacentral:rRNA from 1 species
UACGUAGGGUGCGAGCGUUGUCCGGAAUUACUGGGCGUAAAGAGCUCGUAGGUGGUUUGUCGCGUUGUCCGUGAAAAACUCACAACUCAAUUGUGGGCGUGCGGGCGAUACGGGCAGACUGGAGUACUGCAGGGGAGACUGGAAUUCCUGGUGUAGCGGUGGAAUGCGCAGAUAUCAGGAGGAACACCGGUGGCGAAGGCGGGUCUCUGGGCCGAUACUGACGCUGAGGAGCGAAAGCCAGGGGAGCAAACGGG